rnacentral:rRNA from 1 species
UACGGGGGGGGCAAGCGUUGUUCGGAAUUACUGGGCGUAAAGGGCUCGUAGGCGGCCAACUAAGUCAGACGUGAAAUCCCUCGGCUUAACCGGGGAACUGCGUCCGAUACUGGAUGGCUAGAGUUCGGGAGAGGGAUGCGGAAUUCCAGGUGUAGCGGUGAAAUGCGUAGAUAUCUGGAGGAACACCGGUGGCGAAGGCGACAUCCUGGACCAACACUGACGCUGAGUGAGCGAAAGCCAGGGGAGCAAACGGG